CCGGAGCUAAUACCGGAUAGUUCCUUGAACCGCAUGGUUCAAGGAUGAAAGACGGUUUCGGCUGUCACUUACAGAUGGACCCGCGGCGCAUUAGCUAGUUGGUGAGGUAACGGCUCACCAAGGCGACGAUGCGUAGCCGACCUGAGAGGGUGAUCGGCCACACUGGGACUGAGACACGGCCCAGACUCCUACGGGAGGCAGCAGUAGGGAAUCUUCCGCAAUGGACGAAAGUCUGACGGAGCAACGCCGCGUGAGUGAUGAAGGUUUUCGGAUCGUAAAGCUCUGUUGUUAGGGAAGAACAAGUGCAAGAGUAACUGCUUGCACCUUGACGGUACCUAACCAGAAAGCCACGGCUAACUACGUGCCAGCAGCCGCGGUAAUACGUAGGUGGCAAGCGUUGUCCGGAAUUAUUGGGCGUAAAGGGCUCGCAGGCGGUUUCUUAAGUCUGAUGUGAAAGCCCCCGGCUCAACCGGGGAGGGUCAUUGGAAACUGGGAAACUUGAGUGCAGAAGAGGAGAGUGGAAUUCCACGUGUAGCGGUGAAAUGCGUAGAGAUGUGGAGGAACACCAGUGGCGAAGGCGACUCUCUGGUCUGUAACUGA
rnacentral:rRNA from 1 species